rnacentral:rRNA from 1 species
UACGGAGGGUGCAAGCGUUGUCCGGAUUUAUUGGGCUUAAAGGGCGCGUAGGCGGGGCCUCAAGUCUGGUUUGAAAGUUAGCUGCUCAACAGUUAGACGUGGCUGGAAACUGGGAUUCUGGAAUGGGUUGGCGGCUGCCGGAACGGGUCGUGUAGCGGUGAAAUGCAUAGAUAUGACGCAGAACACCGAUUGCGAAGGCAGGCAGCUACGACUUGAUUGACACUGAGGCACGAGAGCAUGGGUAGCGAACAGG